AGUUUGAUAGGUAAAUGGUAUACCCUUAUGUUACUGACAUGAUUUUAAUAAUUUAAGUCUGUUUCAAACUU
rnacentral:tRNA from 1 species